UACAGGGGGUGCAAACGUUGCUCGGAUUUACUGGGCGUAAAGGGCGCGUAGGCGGUCAGCACAAGUCAAUUGUGAAAUCUCCGAGCUUAACUCGGAAAGGUCAACUGAAACUGUGCGACUAGAGUGCGGAAGGGGCAACUGGAAUUCUUGGUGUAGCGGUGAAAUGCGUAGAUAUCAAGAGGAACACCUGCGGCGAAGGCGGGUUGCUGGGCCGACACUGACGCUGAAGCGCGAAAGCCAGGGGAGCGAACGGG
rnacentral:rRNA from 1 species